rnacentral:sRNA from 1 species
GAUCUUUGAGUUCUUAAUCUUCUUUU